rnacentral:rRNA from 1 species
UACGUAGGUGGCAAGCGUUGUCCGGAUUUACUGGGCGUAAAGAGCGCGCAGGCGGUCGUUCAAGUCGCGUGUGAAAGCCCCCGGCUCAACUGGGGAGGGUCACGCGAUACUGAUCGACUCGAAGGCAGGAGAGGGAAGUGGAAUUCCCGGUGUAGUGGUGAAAUGCGUAGAUAUCGGGAGGAACACCAGUGGCGAAGGCGGGUUGCUGGGCUGAUACUGACGCUGAGGCGCGAAAGCCAGGGGAGCGAACGGG